AUACAGGCCGUCAUCCUUAGUACAGACAGACUGAUUGGGUGCUAAGAUCCAAAGUCGAGAGGGAAACAGCCCAGAUCGUACGCUAAGGUCCCUAAGCAAUCACUUAGUGGAAAAGGANNUGAUCGAGCGAUGACAACCAGGAGGUGGGCUUGGAAUCAGCCAUCCUUUGAAGAAAUCGUAAUAGCUCCAUAGUCUAGCUCCAUGGCGCCGAAAAUGUCGUAGGGCUCAAGUGAUUCACCGAGGCGA
rnacentral:ncRNA from 1 species